rnacentral:tRNA from 1 species
GCGGUCAUCGUCCAGUGGUUAGGACUUUGCUCUGUGGCAGCAAAAACGUGAGUUCGAAUCUCACUGAUCGCC